GACGAACGCUGGCGGCGUGCUUAACACAUGCAAGUCGUACGGUAAGGCCCUUUCGGGGGUACACGAGUGGCGCACGGGUGAGUAACACGUGAGUAACCUGCCCACAACUUUGGGAUAACGCUAGGAAACUGGUGCUAAUACUGGAUAUGUGCUCCUGCUGCAUGGUGGGGGUUGGAAAGCUCCGGCGGUUGUGGAUGGACUCGCGGCCUAUCAGCUUGUUGGUGGGGUAGUGGCCUACCAAGGCGGCGACGGGUAGCCGGCCUGAGAGGGUGACCGGCCACAUUGGGACUGAGAUACGGCCCAGACGCCUACGGGAGGCAGCGGUGGGGAAUAUUGCACAAUGGGCGCAAGCCUGAUGCAGCAACGCCGCGUGCGGGAUGACGGCCUUCGGGUUGUAAACCGCUUUCAGCAGGGACGAAGCUUUUUGUGACGGUACCUGCAGAAGAAGCACCGGCUAACUACGUG
rnacentral:rRNA from 1 species